AGUGAACGCUGGCGGUAGGCCUAACACAUGCAAGUCGAACGGCAGCACAGUAAGAGCUUGCUCUUACGGGUGGCGAGUGGCGGACGGGUGAGGAAUACAUCGGAAUCUACUUUUUCGUGGGGGAUAACGUAGGGAAACUUACGCUAAUACCGCAUACGACCUACGGGUGAAAGCAGGGGAUCUUCGGACCUUGCGCGAUUGAAUGAGCCGAUGUCGGAUUAGCUAGUUGGCGGGGUAAAGGCCCACCAAGGCGACGAUCCGUAGCUGGUCUGAGAGGAUGAUCACCCACACUGGAACUGAGGCACGGUCCAGACUCCUACGGGAGGCAGCAGUGGGGAAUAUUGGACAAAGGGCGCAAGCCUGAUCCAGCCAUACCGCGUGGGUGAAGAAGGCCUUCGGGUUGUAAAGCCCUUUUGUUGGGAAAGAAAAGCAGCAGGUUAAUACCCCGCUGUUCUGACGGUACCCAAAGAAUAAGCACCGGCUAACUUCGUG
rnacentral:rRNA from 1 species